AGAUGAGGACGACUACUCAUUUCAACCAAUUUAUUCUGCUCUGGCCAUAAAUGAGACUCCACAAGCUCUCCAGCAUGUGGCAGAAUCAAAAGGAUCCAGCUCCACAGUGACCCUGAAUGCAACAGCAGCCAAAGACUCAAGUUAAACAGAGCAGGAAGUUCUUCAUGUGCACAAGGCCACAAAGAGCAGAGAGACUGCUGACUGAAGAAGACAAUCAGAAGAAACAAAUCACAAAUAGAGUUGAAUGUCUAGCUUUGUGUUUUACGUCUUAGUUUUUAAAGUCAGUUGUCAUUCUCUUCUCGUACAUACAUCCAAUAUAUCCUUGCAAUUGUAUCAAACCUUUUAAGUAUUUCAUUUCAUAUUCUGUUUACUCUAACAAAAACUUAAUUAGCACAUACAGUUUGUGAGGCUUUAAGCUGAGUUCAAAACAAACAAAAUAGCAGAUUUUGUGCAUGAGAUCAUAGAAAAGAGCCGGCAGUUAAAGCUCACUGUUGUCUGUUAAAACACAUAAAGACGCUAGUUAAGAUAAGAAAAGAGGUGGUUGUGGAUUUUAAACACAGUCACAUUUGUCAACCACCAACAUGAUACUGUUAGAGCAGUUUGAUCUGAUGUAACCAGA